AGAGUUUGAUCCUGGCUCAGGAUGAACGCUGGCGGCGUGCCUAAUACAUGCAAGUCGAGCGAACGGACGAGAAGCUUGCUUCUCUGAUGUUAGCGGCGGACGGGUGAGUAACACGUGGAUAACCUACCUAUAAGACUGGGAUAACUUCGGGAAACCGGAGCUAAUACCGGAUAAUAUUUUGAACCGCAUGGUUCAAAAGUGAAAGACGGUCUUGCUGUCACUUAUAGAUGGAUCCGCGCUGCAUUAGCUAGUUGGUAAGGUAACGGCUUACCAAGGCAACGAUGCAUAGCCGACCUGAGAGGGUGAUCGGCCACACUGGAACUGAGACACGGUCCAGACUCCUACGGGAGGCAGCAGUAGGGAAUCUUCCGCAAUGGGCGAAAGCCUGACGGAGCAACGCCGCGUGAGUGAUGAAGGUCUUCGGAUCGUAAAACUCUGUUAUUAGGGAAGAACAUAUGUGUAAGUAACUGUGCACAUCUUGACGGUACCUAAUCAGAAAGCCACGGCUAAUACGUGCCAGCAGCCGCGGUAAUACGUAGGUGGCAAGCGUUAUCCGGAAUUAUUGGGCGUAAAGCGCGCGUAGGCGGUUUUUUAAGUCUGAUGUGAAAGCCCACGGCUCAACCGUGGAGGGUCAUUGGAAACUGGAAAACUUGAGUGCAGAAGAGGAAAGUGGAAUUCCAUGUGUAGCGGUGAAAUGCGCAGAGAUAUGGAGGAACACCAGUGGCGAAGGCGACUUUCUGGUCUGUAACUGACGCUGAUGUGCGAAAGCGUGGGGAUCAAACAGGAUUAGAUACCCUGGUAGUCCACGCCGUAAACGAUGAGUGCUAAGUGUUAGGGGGUUUCCGCCCCUUAGUGCUGGCAUAACGCAUUAAGCACUCCGCCUGGGGAGUACGACCGCAAGGUUGAAACUCAAAGGAAUUGACGGGGACCCGCACAAGCGGU
rnacentral:rRNA from 1 species